rnacentral:ncRNA from 2 species
GCAAAACCUAAGGGGUGGCUACGGCCUGAGAUGCUAUUGGAACCAGCAAUGCAAACCCUUGAACCUGAUCCGGCUAAUACCGGCGUAGGAAUAGGUCAGUAAUCCUCU